rnacentral:rRNA from 1 species
CCUACGGGAGGCAGCAGUGGGGAAUCUUGCACAAUGGAGGAAACUCUGAUGCAGCGAUGCCGCGUGAGUGAAGAAGGCCUUUGGGUUGUAAAGCUCUUUUGUAGGGGAAGAUAAUGACUGUACCCUAAGAAUAAGGUCCGGCUAACUUCGUGCCAGCAGCCGCGGUAAUACGAAGGGACCUAGCGUAGUUCGGAAUUACUGGGCGUAAAGCGCGCGUAGGCCGUUGAGUUAGUUAAUUGUGAAAUCCCAAAGCUUAACUUUGGAACUGCAAUUAAAACUGCUCGACUAGAGUUUGAUAGAGGAAAGCGGAAUACAUAGUGUAGAGGUGAAAUUCGUAGAUAUUAUGUAGAACACCAGUUGCGAAGGCGGCUUUCUGGAUCAACACUGACGCUGAGGCGCGAAAGUAUGGGUAGCAAAGAGGAUUAGAUACCCUCGUAGUCCAUACCAUAAACGAUGAUUGCUAGAUGUUGGAAAUUUAUUUUCAGUAUCGCAGCUAACGCGUUAAGCAAUCCGCCUGGGGAGUACGACCGCAAGGUUAAAACUUAAAUGAAAUUGACGGCUGAGAGNGCGAGACGACACGAGGAGAG